CUCCGAAUAACUUUGCUGAUCGCACGGUCUCGCACCGGCGACGUAUCUUUCAAGUGUCUGCCUUAUCAACUGUCGAUGGUAGGUUAUGCGCCUACCAUGGUUGUAACGGGUAACGGGGAAUCAGGGUUCGAUUCCGGAGAGGGAGCCUGAGAAACGGCUACCACAUCCAAGGAAGGCAGCAGGCGCGCAAAUUACCCACUCCCGGCACGGGGAGGUAGUGACGAAAAAUAACAAUACGGAACUCAUACGAGGCUCCGUAAUUGGAAUGAGUACACUUUAAAUCCUUUAACGAGGAUCUAUCGGAGGGCAAGUCUGGUGCCAGCAGCCGCGGUAAUUCCAGCUCCAAUAGCGUAUAUUAAAGUUGUUGUGGUUAAAAAGCUCGUAGUUGGAUCUCGGUUUCGGGUGAAUGGCGCACCUUGCGGUGUUUACUAUUUACUCGGACGAUUUUGUUGGUUCGUUCCUGGUUCUCUUUAUCGAGUGCCUUGAGUGGCCAACACGUUUACUUUGAAAAAAUUGGAGUGCUCAAAGCAGGCGCUACAGCCUGAACAUUAGUGCAUGGAAUAAUGGAAUAGGAUCUCGGUUCUAUUUCGUUGGCUUUCGGAGUCGAGGUAAUGAUUAAUAGGGACAGACGGGGGCAUUCGUACUGCGACGUUAGAGGUGAAAUUCUUGGAUCGUCGCAAGACGAACUACUGCGAAAGCAUUUGCCAAGAAUGUUUUCAUUAAUCAAGAACGAAAGUUAGAGGUUCGAAGGCGAUCAGAUACCGCCCUAGUUCUAACCAUAAGCGAUGUCGACCGGCAAUCUGCUCUCGUUAAAUUAAUGACUGAGCAGGCGGCCUGCUGGAAACAAGAGUAUUUGGAUUCCAGGGGGAGUAUGGUUGCAAAGCUGAAACUUAAAAGAAUUGACGGAAGGGCACCACCAGGAGUGGAGCCUGCGGCUUAAUUUGACCAACACGGGAAAUCUCACCAGGCCCGGACACCGGAAGGAUUGACAGAUAGAGAGCUCUUUCUUGAUUCGGUGGGUGGUGGUGCAUGGCCGUUCUUAGUUGGUGGAGCGAUUUGUCUGGUUAACUCCGAUAACGAACGAGACUCUGGCCUACUAAAUAGACGUCGAAUCUUUUAUAGGUUUGUCGUAUGCUUCUUAGAGGGACGGGCGGCGUUUAGCCGCACGAGAAUGAGCAAUAACAGGUCUGUGAUGCCCUUAGAUGUUCUGGGCCGCACGCGCGCUACACUGAAGAAAUCAGCGUGUGUUCCUCAUCCGAAAGGAUUGGGUAACCCGUUGAACCUUCUUCGUGAUGGGGAUUGGGGAUUGCAAUUAUUCCCCAUGAACGAGGAAUUCCCAGUAGGCGCGAGUCAUAAGCUUGCGUCGAUUACUUCCCUGCCCUUUGUACACACCGCCCGUCGCUACUACCUAUCGAGUGAUUUAGUGAGGACUCCGGACUGGUCUCUGAUGUGACUCUCGGGUUAUGUCGGUGUACUGGAAAGUUGUCCAAACUUGAUUACUUAGAGGAAGUAAAAGUCGUAACAAGGUU
rnacentral:rRNA from 1 species